rnacentral:rRNA from 1 species
AGAUUGAACGCUGGCGGCAUGCCUUACACAUGCAAGUCGAACGGCAGCACGGGAGCAAUCCUGGUGGCGAGUGGCGAACGGGUGAGUAAUACAUCGGAACGUGCCCAAUCGUGGGGGAUAACGCAGCGAAAGCUGUGCUAAUACCGCAUAAGAUCUACGGAUGAAAGCAGGGGAUCGCAAGACCUUGCGCGAAUGGAGCGGCCGAUGGCAGAUUAGGUAGUUGGUGAGGUAAAGGCUCACCAAGCCUUCGAUCUGUAGCUGGUCUGAGAGGACGACCAGCCACACUGGGACUGAGACACGGCCCAGACUCCGUACGGGAGCAGCAGUGGGGAAUUUGGACAAU